CGUUUGACCAUUUUGCACUGUUCAUGUCCAACGUUUGACCAUUCGUCUUAUUUGAAUUUUUUUAUAAUUAGUAUUUUUAUUGUUAUUAGAUGAUAAACAUGAAUAGUACUUUAUGUGUGACUAAUUGUUUAAAAAAGAUCCAUAAAAUUUUUAAAUAAGACGGACGGUCAAACGUUGGACACGAAUACCCACGUUUGCACAGAGG
rfam:Oryza meridionalis cultivar OR44 (W2112) chromosome 8, whole genome shotgun sequence.